rnacentral:rRNA from 1 species
UGAACGCUGGCGGCGUGCCUAAUACAUGCAAGUCGAGCGAACGGACGCGAAGCUUGCUUCUCUGAUGUUAGCGGCGGACGGGUGAGUAACACGUGGAUAACCUACCUAUAAGACUGGGAUAACUUCGGGAAACCGGAGCUAAUACCGGAUGAUAUUUUGAACCGCAUGGUUCAAAAGUGAAAGACGGUCUUGCUGUCACUUAUAGAUGGAUCCGCGCUGCAUUAGCUAGUUGGUAAGGUAACGGCUUACCAAGGCAACGAUGCAUAGCCGACCUGAGAGGGUGAUCGGCCACACUGGAACUGAGACACGGUCCAGACUCCUACGGGAGGCAGCAGUAGGGAAUCUUCCGCAAUGGGCGAAAGCCUGACGGAGCAACGCCGCGUGAGUGAUGAAGGUCUUCGGAUCGUAAAACUCUGUUAUUAGGGAAGAACAUAUGUGUAAGUAACUGUGCACAUCUUGACGGUACCUAAUCAGAAAGCCACGGCUAACUACGUG